rnacentral:rRNA from 1 species
AGCGAACGCUGGCGGCAGGCUUAACACAUGCAAGUCGAGCGGGCAUCCUUGUGGUGUCCCCGGCAGACGGGUGAGUAACGCGUGGGAACGUGCCCUUCGGUUCGGAAUAACUCAGGGAAACUUGAGCUAAUACCGGAUACGUGCGAGAGCAGAAAGGUUUAUCUGCCGAAGGAUCGGCCCGCGUCUGAUUAGCUAGUUGGUGAGGUUAUGGCUCACCAAGGCGACGAUCAGUAGCUGGUCUGAGAGGAUGAUCAGCCACACUGGGACUGAGACACGGCCCAGACUCCUACGGGAGGCAGCAGUGGGGAAUAUUGGACAAUGGGGGCAACCCUGAUCCAGCCAUGCCGCGUGAGUGAUGACGGCCUUAGGGUUGUAAAGCUCUUUUCUUCGGGACGAUAAUGACGGUACCGGAGGAAUAAGCCCCGGCUAACUUCGUG